GACGAACGCUGGCGGCGUGCUUAACACAUGCAAGUCGAACGGAAAGGCCCUGCUUUUGUGGGGUGCUCGAGUGGCGAACGGGUGAGUAACACGUGAGUAACCUGCCCUUGACUUUGGGAUAACUUCAAGAAACUGGGGCUAAUACCGGAUAGGAGCUCCUGCUGCAUGGUGGGGGUUGGAAAGUUUCGGCGGUUGGGGAUGGACUCGCGGCUUAUCAGCUUGUUGGUGGGGUAGUGGCUUACCAAGGCUUUGACGGGUAGCCGGCCUGAGAGGGUGACCGGCCACAUUGGGACUGAGAUACGGCCCAGACUCCUACGGGAGGCAGCAGUGGGGAAUAUUGCACAAUGGGCGGAAGCCUGAUGCAGCAACGCCGCGUGCGGGAUGACGGCCUUCGGGUUGUAAACCGCUUUCGCCUGUGACGAAGCGUGAGUGACGGUAAUGGGUAAAGAAGCACCGGCUAACUACGUGCCAGCAGCCGCGGUGAUACGUAGGGUGCGAGCGUUGUCCGGAUUUAUUGGGCGUAAAGGGCUCGUAGGUGGUUGAUCGCGUCGGAAGUGUAAUCUUGGGGCUUAACCCUGAGCGUGCUUUCGAUACGGGUUGACUUGAGGAAGGUAGGGGAGAAUGGAAUUCCUGGUGGAGCGGUGGAAUGCGCAGAUAUCAGGAGGAACACCAGUGGCGAAGGCGGUUCUCUGGGCCUUUCCUGACGCUGAGGAGCGAAAGCGUGGGGAGCGAACAGGCUUAGAUACCCUGGUAGUCCACGCUGUAAACGGUGGGUACUAGGUGUGGGGUCCAUUCCACGGGUUCCGUGCCGUAGCUAACGCUUUAAGUACCCCGCCUGGGGAGUACGGCCGCAAGGCUAAAACUCAAAGGAAUUGACGGGGCCCCGCACAAGCGGCGGAGCAUGCGGAUUAAUUCGAUGCAACGCGUAGAACCUUACCUGGGUUUGACAUGGAUCGGGAGUGCUCAGAGAUGGGUGUGCCUCUUUUGGGGUCGGUUCACAGGUGGUGCAUGGCUGUCGUCAGCUCGUGUCGUGAGAUGUUGGGUUAAGUCCCGCAACGAGCGCAACCCUUGUUCACUGUUGCCAGCACGUUAUGGUGGGGACUCAGUGGAGACCGCCGGGGUCAACUCGGAGGAAGGUGGGGAUGACGUCAAGUCAUCAUGCCCCUUAUGUCCAGGGCUUCACGCAUGCUACAAUGGCUGGUACAGAGAGUGGCGAGCCUGUGAGGGUGAGCGAAUCUCGGAAAGCCGGUCUCAGUUCGGAUUGGGGUCUGCAACUCGACCUCAUGAAGUCGGAGUCGCUAGUAAUCGCAGAUCAGCAACGCUGCGGUGAAUACGUUCCCGGG
rnacentral:rRNA from 1 species